rnacentral:rRNA from 1 species
GAUGAACGCUGGCGGCGUGCCUAAUACAUGCAAGUCGAGCGAACAGACGAGGAGCUUGCUCCUCUGACGUUAGCGGCGGACGGGUGAGUAACACGUGGAUAACCUACCUAUAAGACUGGGAUAACUUCGGGAAACCGGAGCUAAUACCGGAUAAUAUAUUGAACCGCAUGGUUCAAUAGUGAAAGACGGUUUUGCUGUCACUUAUAGAUGGAUCCGCGCCGCAUUAGCUAGUUGGUAAGGUAACGGCUUACCAAGGCAACGAUGCGUAGCCGACCUGAGAGGGUGAUCGGCCAAACUGGAACUGAGACACGGUCCAGACUCCUACGGGAGGGAGCAGUAGGGAAUCUUCCGCAAUGGGCGAAAGCUUGACGGAGCAAAGCCGCGUGGGUGAUGAAGGGCUUCGGAUCGUAAAACUCUGUUAUUAGGGAAGAACAAAUGUGUAAGUAACUAUGCACGUCUUGACGGUACCUAAUCAGAAAGCCACAGCUAACUACGUG